UACGUAGGGGGCAAGCGUUGUCCGGAUUUAUUGGGCGUAAAGGGUGCGCAGGCGGCCGUGUGUGUGAGGCGUGAAAGCCCGGGGCUUAACCCCGGAAUUGCACCUCAAACUAUACGGCUAGAGCAUUGGAGAGGGUAGCAGAAUUCAUGGUGUAGCAGUGAAAUGCGUAGAUAUCAUGAGGAAUACCAGAGGCGAAGGCGGCUACCUGGACAAUUGCUGACGCUCAGGCACGAAAGCGUGGGGAGCAAAAGGG
rnacentral:rRNA from 1 species